UACGUAGGGUGCGAGCGUUGUCCGGAAUUAUUGGGCGUAAAGAGCUCGUAGGCGGUUUGUUGCGUCUAUCGUGAAAACCUGCAGCUUAACUGUGGGCUUGCGGUGGAUACGGGCAGACUUGAGUUCGGUAGGGGAGACUGGAAUUCCUGGUGUAGCGGUGAAAUGCGCAGAUAUCCGGAGGAACACCGGUGGCGAAGGCGGCUUCCUGGACCGACACUGACGCUGAGGCGCGAAAGCUAGGGGAGCAAACGGG
rnacentral:rRNA from 1 species